CGAGAAGGCAGCUACACGGCGACGUGAUGCUAAUCCCUAAAGCCUCUCUCAGUUCGGAUUGGAGUCUGCAACCCGACUCCAUGAAGCUGGAUUCGCUAGUAAUCGCGCAUCAGCCACGGCGCGGUGAAUACGUUCCCGGGCCUUGUACACACCGCCCGUCAAGCCAUGAAAGCCGGGGGUACCUGAAGUGCGUAACCGCAAGGAGCGCCCUAGGGUAAAACUGGUGAUUGGGGCUAAGUCGUAACAAGGUAGC
rnacentral:rRNA from 1 species